UUCCUCUCGGUUUUGCCUGAAGGGCGCAGGCUUUCAACCAGAAACAGGCUCAGACCCAAACACAGAACCACCGCUGGUUCUGCUGCAGCUGGAAGACAAAAUGUGGCUUCGAGAGGAGCUUCUGAAAGCCAUCUGGCAUGCAUUCACGGCCCUGGACGUGGACCACCGUGGGAAAGUCUCCAAAUCUCAGUUAAAGGUGCUGUCCUACAACCUGUGCACAGUAAUGAAGAUCCCCCAUAACCCUUUGACCUUUGAAGAGCAUUUUAAAGAAGAUAAUAAGGGACCUCUGUCUAAUGAGGGCUACAUGCCUUACCUCAACAGGUACAUUCUUGAUAAGGUGCAGGAGGAUUUCGAUGUGCUGGAGUUCUACCGGAUGUGCUGGACUUUGUGUUACAAAAAGAAUAUUCACCCUCAUCGUCUAAUCAUCUCAGAUGCUGAUGCGUUCAAAGUCUGGUGCAUUUUUAACUUCCUGUCGGAAGACAAAUACCCGCUAGUGAUUGUCUUUGAGGAGGUCGAGUAUUUUCUGCGAAAGCUGACGGAGGCCAUGGGAAUCGGGUGGUGUGAGGAAAAGUUCACAGACUACAGAAUGCGGCAGAACACGAAGACCUGCCUGACUGUAUGGGAGCUGAUCGAGCUGGUGGGAGUCAUCUACUUCAGCAACGACGUGGACCGGCAGAUCCUGUCCAUGAGCAUCAACGAGGUGUUUUCGGAGCUCAUCCUGGACAUUCUCAAGCAGGGCUACAUGAUGAAAAAAGGCCACAAGAGGAAGAACUGGAUGGAGCGCUGGUUCGUCCUUCGACCCACUUCGCUGACCUACUACGUCUGCGAAGACCUCACGGAGAAGAAGGGAGACAUCGUUCUUGACCAAAACUGCUGUGUGGAGUCUCUGCUAGACAGAGACGGGAAGAAGUGCCUUUUUAUUAUUAAGUGCCUGGACAAAAGCUUUGAGAUCAGCGCUUCGGACAAAAAGAAGAAGCAGGAAUGGAUUCAAGCUAUACAAACGUGCAUCCAGCUGCUGAGGCUCGGCCUGCUGUCUCCGCACCGCGAGGCGCGGCUGAGGCGUCGGGAGCUGCGGCAGAAGCAGCAGCUGGAGGACCAGGACCUGACGGAGAGGAUGAAGAACCUCCAGGCGGCGAAUGAGGCCAAACAGAGACAACUGGAAGACAUGAGGCUGAAAAUGGAGGAGGCCAAAGCCAAAGCAGAGCUUGAGGAGCUCCGGAGGAAGAAAAAUCAGUCAGACCUGCAGGAUCAGUACAGAUUAGACCUGGAGAGAGAAAAAAUGGUGCGGCAGGAGAUGGAGGAGCAGAUGGCUCAGAAGUCCAGUGAGCUGGAUCAGUACCUCCAGCGGGUCCGAGAGCUCGAAGACAUGUACCACCGGCUGCAGGAAGCCCUAGAGGACGAGAGGCAGGCCAAGCAGGAUGAGGAGGCCAUGAGGAAGCUGCAGGCCAGGCUGUUGGAGGAAGAGGCGGCAAAGAGGGCGGAGAUGGAGCAGAUCUACCUGAAGCAGCAGAGGACGCUGACUCAGACGGAGGCGGAGAAGGAGGAGCUGAUGGCCGAGCAGCUGGUCAAGGAGAGAGAGCUGCAGGCGGCGUCUCAGCAGCUGGACAGACUGGAGAAGGAACGGCAGGGGGCGCUGGAGCAGUAUCAGGAGGUAUCACGAAAACUGGAGCGAGCGGCCAACAAGACAAAGACUUGGAAAGAUAAGGUGGCCAAACACGAAGGGCUGGUUCGUCUCAUCCAGCCAGGUCAUAAAGGAGCUCAGAGAAUCACUAACUGGGGCCCGGCCUCGUUCACCGACAUUGAGCUGGAGCUGAGGAAGAAGUCCUGGCAGGAGAAGAAGAACCAGGGAGCUCCGGCUGAGUGAUGGAUGGUCCGAAUAAAUCAGUGACCUCUUAACACAUCAUCAGUUAGUUGAAUUCAUCAGUUUUAAGUGGCAGCACGAGAACGGGACAUUUUGAUUUGUAUUUCCUGUGCAGGAGCUGAAAUCUGUGAAACAAACAAGUAUAAAAUCAUUGCUUUAAUAGUAUUUCAGUAUACUUAAUGAGUGGCUUUUGUGUUGUUUUCCCCCCCGUUGUUCUUAAAUGCAUCACAUGCCCUGCAAAAGUAUUCACACCCCGUUAGGAUUUGUCAGGUUAUGCAAUGAGAUUUUAUGUGACAGAUCAACAAAAGAUGGAUAAAUGUGAAGUGGAAAGAAAUGUGGUUUGUCUUUUCA